CCCUGCCACUCCGUUUUUUCUCUUCUUCUCGUGCUUCGGCGGAAAUCGGCUUAGCUCUUCGACCGGCAUUGCUAGCAGAAUUAUAAUUUUAUGGAGGUCAUUUUAGGGUAAAAUAGGAUUAACUAUGGUUGCACCACGUUAGCUCUUUGGAGUCAAGGUACGCAUUACAUAAAUUCUGCCACACACAUAACUAUGGUUGCACCUCAGGAACGUGACAAGCUAUUUUGAUUCAACUAAGCAGCUUGUGAAUGGGAUUCCCCUGCCACUAGAUCUUGGAUCCAACAUUGAUGAUGUAAAAGUGAAAGUCACCACGACUGCUGAUUCUCUCUCCAAGAAGGCUAAAGAAAAUUCAAGGAUGAUACACAAAGUCAUAGAUGGAGUGAGACUGGCUCUUGUUACUGUUGCUGUUGUUAUGAUCUUUGUUGCAUUUCUCGGAUUGUGCAUGUUUGAUUUUGGUUUUGUCUUUUUUAUUUUUCUUACUCUAUACUAAAUGUUAACCAAAUCAUAUGAACUUGAUUUAAUUUUUGCAGUAUUUUCUUUACUUGCUUUGCCGUGUCCUGUAUACUCGUAAGUUGAAUUCAUUUCAUUUCCUUCACUCUGAUAGAUUUGUCUCCCGUUAAGUUUCUAUCGGUAAAAGAUGUUCUUUUUUCUUUUUAUCGUGGCUGCAGCUUGGUGGUUAUUGGAUGGAUUCUUGUUACAGGCACCUUGUUACUUUGUGCUGCAUUUCUAUUUGUCCCUAAGUAAGUUCCUAUAUAUUGCUUGGAGUCAAUUGUUCAACUUCAUGAAAUCAAUACAAAGCUUGUAAUGGAUAGAUAAUUGGAUCGAAUUAAUGAAUUCAUUAACUAAUGUUACACUUGCAUAUAUGCAUAUGUAUAUUUUUGAACUAAAAAAUAGUAGUAAUGUAUAAGAUCAUAGGGCAGAGUAAUUGGUGUGUUGGGUUGGAGUUAGCUGGAGCUGGGUUUCUUGUGUGGUGUGUUGGUGUUAUGGCUGAGGGAUGAAGAAAGAUAAGGUGUCUCUCCGACUCCGAAUAAUGGGAAGAAGCUAA